AAGAAGAGCUUCUAAUACUUACUGAGCACUUACGUAAUAGUCACUGUUUUACUGUUUUGUGCAUAUUUACUUAUUUAAUCUUCACAUCAACUCGAGUGGAGUACAAUUAGUUCUCAGUAUUACAUACGUGCAAAUGGAGUCACAGAAGAUGAAUCCCAAGAAUUUCGUUUAAGGGGCAAUUUUUUUUUAAGUUACACAUCAAUAAAUGAUGAACCAAACAUUUCCAUAUGAAGCCAGAUCUACCAAUUACUUUUUACAAAUACCUCCUUCGGAGAGAUCCCUGGGAACAGGAUACUGUUCUGGGAAUUUUUCCUGAUUUUGAAGAAGACAUUAUUCUUUUCUGAGACUCCAAAGAUUAGUCCUGAGCUAACGUCUGUGCCCAUCUUCCUCCACUUUAUACGUGGGACGCCUGCCACAGCAUGGCUUGACAAGCGGUGCUGUGUCCGCAAAUGGUAUGGGAACCAGGAAACCCUGGGCCGCCGAAGUGGAGCAUGUGAAUUUAACUGCUGCACCAUCAGGCCGGCCCCCCUAGUCAAGACAUUGAAAGCAGGCAGCUGACUACAAACCAGGAAGAGAGGGCUCAUCGGGAACCAAAUUGCUGGCAACUUGAUCUUGGAUUUCCCAGCCUCCAGAACUGUGAGAAAUGAAUGUCCGUUGUUUAAGCCACUCAGUUUAUGGCUUUUAGUUAUGGUAGCCUGAGCAGACUCAUAUAAUUGACUUAGAAAAUAAAAAUAAAGAGAACAUCUAGCAUUUUCUUCCUGUGUUGUAAUGGAUUUCUUUGUGCACCAGGUUCUUGCUCCUUAUUUUGAGAUAAUUUUGAGACUAUAAUUAAAUCUUAAACAUUUGAUAAUAUUUUUAGUCAAUUGCAGUUUAUAUUUUUGGUUUGAAACUCUUUCUUGAAAAUAACAUUAAAUUUA
rnacentral:lncRNA from 1 species